AAACACCCAAACUGGAACAGACCCUCUCACCAUCCAAAUCACAUCAACUCGUCAGGAAAUAGGCUGGAGGAAUGGCUAGCAAACCAACUCUUCGUAAACCUACUCCCAACCGAAGAACCCACACGCCCAAAUCCGACGGGAGACUCCUCAAUAGACUACUUCAUAGCAUCAUCCUCAAUACCAAUAGACAACCACACAUAUACAUUCGGCUGCAAAACCAUCAAAGACUUCCCUUCAGACCACUUUGGCAUAACAAUCAACAUAAAUCUAGGACACAACCGACUAACAUACAACCAACCAAAGUCCUUACAUAACUUCCAAAAAAUAAACCCCAUCCACUGGAACACAAUCAUCCUUCAGAACCUGAGACAAAUUCCAAACACCCAAAACAUAAACUCAGCUGACAUAGAUGGUCACGUCCAAACAUUAACAUAUGCAAUAGACAGAGCUUUAAAUUCCAGUGAAGCAAUUCCAAAAAUCACCCUAAGCCCGAAUAACCCCAACAAUCCGUUUGUCCGACUUAGCCAAUACUGCCUAAACCUAAUCAAAAGAAAGCGAAAACUCAGACGCGUUCUUUUCCGCCGCACAUCCACACUGACAGCCAGCCAAAGGACGCAAAUAAAAAACUUAAUAAAAGACUUGGACAUACAGAUUACCUGCCAUGUAGAGUUUGCAGAACUGAAAUCAAUAGACCAAAAACUGCGCAAAGUAAACCCAAGCAAAAUCAGCCACAAAACACUCCAAGCCCUUAAUCCUAACACGCCGCCAAAAGAACAACUUGCGCACGAUAUUCAACUGACGAAUGAAGAAGCAGCUCUUAUCGACCUGGACUACAGCACAUCUCCAACCAUUAGCUCCACCUUCGACAAAAUCAAUGCUCUCGCGUGGUCCUUUGAAAGAGUCCAUAGCCAGAACGCUAACAUCACUGACUCAGACCCUGUUCUUAGGGCACACUCAACCUAUGUUAACGAAAGCAUAGCCCAAACCGUAUCCACAACACUAAAUACGUACAAAACUACAUUUAAUACUUACAAAACAGCAGGACGCUGAGCUGUCCCUAAUAAGAUCGGUCCCAGCAGGCGUUCCACAAGGAUCACUGCUGGCGCCCACCUUAUACAACAUUUACCUGGCCGACAUGCCCGACUACCAAACCCCUACCGGAUCUACCACAAAAAUCAAAGCACUAAUAUAUGCUGAUGAUAUCC
rnacentral:lncRNA from 1 species